GCCCCCGACCCCCCGCCCUGCCUCCCAGGUGCUUCCGCUCCAGGCCUCAGAGACUGAGAGUUUGAGGUACUGCCGGGGAGCCAGCGGGAGGAUGAGGCCCAUGUUAAAGAUGGCAGAGCACAAAGAUUUGAAGAACUUCAGUCUGGAUGAAGUCAUGGAACCACGGCAUUAAUUAAUGAUGUAACCUCCCUACCCUCUGGACUUAGGGUUGUGUAUGUUAAUAAAUCCACUUUGCUUACAGU
rnacentral:lncRNA from 1 species